rnacentral:rRNA from 1 species
GACGAACGCUGGCGGCGUGCUUAACACAUGCAAGUCGAACGGAAAGGCCCUGCUCUUGUGGGGUGCUCGAGUGGCGAACGGGUGAGUAACACGCGAGUAACCUGCCCUUGACUUUGGGAUAACUUCAGGAAACUGGGGCUAAUAUCGGAUAGGAGCUCCUGCUGCAUGGUGGGGGUUGGAAAGUUUCGGCGGUUGGGGAUGGACUCGCGGCUUAUCAGCUUGUUGGUGGGGUAGUGGCUUACCAAGGCUUCGACGGGUAGCCGGCCUGAGAGGGUGACCGGCCACAUUAGGACUGCGAUACGGCCCAGUCUCCUACGGGCGGCAGCAGUGGGGAAUAUUGCACAAUGGCCGCAAGCCUGAUGCGACGACGCCGCGUGCGGGAUGACGGCCUUCGGGUUGUAAACCGCUUUCGCCUGUGACGAAGCGUGAGUGACGGUAAUGGGUAAAGAAGCACCGGCUAACUACGUG